rnacentral:rRNA from 1 species
GAUGAACGCUGGCGGCGUGCCUAAUACAUGCAAGUCGAGCGAACGGACGAGAAGCUUUCUUCUCUGAUGUUAGCGGCGAACGGGUGAGUAACACGUGGAUAACCUACCUAUAAGACUGGGAUAACUUCGGGAAACCGGAGCUAAUACCGGAUGAUAUUUUGAACCGCAUGGUUCAAGAGUAAAAGACGGUCUUGCUGUCACUUAUAGAUGGAUCCGCGCUGCAUUAGCUAGUUGGUAAGGUAACGGCUUACCAAGGCAAAGAUGCAUAGCCGACCUGAGAGGGUGAUCGGCCACACUGGAACUGAGACACGGUCCAGACUCCUACGGGAGGCAGCAGUAGGGAAUCGUACGCAAUGGGCGAAAGCCUGACGGAGCAACGCCGCGUGAGUGAGGAAGGUCUUCGGAUCGUAAAACUCUGUUAUUAGGGAAGAACAGAUGUGUAAGUAACUGUGCACAUAUUGACGGUACCUAAUCAGAAAGCCACGGCUAACUACGUG